rnacentral:rRNA from 1 species
UGAUAAAGUUAAAGGGCCGCGGUAUUUUGACCGUGCGAAGGUAGCAUAAUCAUUAGUCUUUUAAUUGGAGGCUUGUAUGAAUGGUUGGACAAAAAGUAAGCUGUCUCGGUUAUAUUGUUUGAAUUUAACUUUUAAGUGAAAAGGCUUAAAUAAACUAAAGGGACGAUAAGACCCUAUAAAGCUUUACAAUUAUUUAAUUAGAUUAUAAAUUGUUGGUGUAACUUGAUUUAAUUAAUAUUUGUUUCGUUGGGGCGACGGGAAUAAAAUUGAAAUAACUGUUCUUUUAUUAGUAGUCACAGAUUUGUUUGAUUAAAAAUUGAUCCUUUAUUAGAGAUUAAAAGAUUAAGUUACUUUAGGGAUAACAGCGUAAUUCUCUUUGAGAGUCCAUAUCGACAAGAGAGGUUGCGACCUCGAUGUUGAAUU